UCCUACCGGAGGCAGCACUGCGGAAUUUUGGACAAUGGGGGCAACCCUGAUCCAGCCCUGCCGCGUGAGUGAAGAAGGCCUUCGGGUUGUAAAGCUCUUUCGGCCGGGAAGAAAUCGCUUCGGCUAAUACCUGGAGGGAUGACGUA
rnacentral:rRNA from 1 species